AAGACUAUACUUUCAGGGAUCAUUUCUAUAGUUUCUAACUAGGAAGUGUACUAAGAAAGUGAUGAGUCUUCCAAACCAUGAUGAAGAAUUUAGAUACUUUUUUCUGAGCGUGAAUCAGAUGUGGAGUAAUGAUUUGGUUCAUAUGCUUUACAUCAUUGAAGAACGUUCCUACUUUUUCAUGAAGUAUGGAGGAAAAGAGUAUGAACAGAGUGGU